UACGAAGGGUGCAAACGUUGCUCGGAAUUAUUGGGCGUAAAGCGCACGUAGGCGGCUCAACAAGUCGGAUGUGAAAUCCCUCGGCUCAACCAAGGAAGUGCAUCCGAAACUGUAGAGCUUGAGUACGAAAGAGGAUCGCGGAAUUCCCGGUGUAGAGGUGAAAUUCGUAGAUAUCGGGAGGAACACCAGUGGCGAAGGCGGCGAUCUGGGUCGAUACUGACGCUGAGGUGCGAAAGCGUGGGGAGCAAACAGG
rnacentral:rRNA from 1 species